rnacentral:tRNA from 1 species
AGAAACAUGUCUGAUAAAAGAAUUAUCUUGAUAGGGUAAAUUAUAGGGGUUUAAGUCCCCUUGUUUCUA